rnacentral:rRNA from 1 species
UAGGGAAUCUUCGGCAAUGGACGAAAGUCUGACCGAGCAACGCCGCGUGAGUGAAGAAGGUUUUCGGAUCGUAAAACUCUGUUGUUAGAGAAGAACAAGGACGUUAGUAACUGAACGUCCCCUGACGGUAUCUAACCAGAAAGCCACGGCUAACUACGUGCCAGCAGCCGCGGUAAUACGUAGGUGGCAAGCGUUGUCCGGAUUUAUUGGGCGUAAAGCGAGCGCAGGCGGUUUCUUAAGUCUGAUGUGAAAGCCCCCGGCUCAACCGGGGAGGGUCAUUGGAAACAGGGAGACUUGAGUGCAGAAGAGGUGAGUGGAAUUCCAUGUGUAGCGGUGAAAUGAGUAGAUAUAUGGAGGAAAACCAGUGGCGAAGGCGGCUCUCUGGUCUGUAACUGACGCUGAGGCUCGAAAGCGUGGGGAGCAAACAGG